rnacentral:rRNA from 1 species
CAAUAGCGUAUAUUAAAGUUGUUGCAGUUAAAAAGCUCGUAGUUGGAUUUCUGGUGGGAGCGAUCGGUCUGGCGCUUAGCGCGAGUACUUGCAUCGUCUCCGGCCAUCCUUGGGGAGAGUCUGUCUGGCAUUAGGUUGUCGGGCAGAGGAUCCUCAUCGUUUACUGUGAAAAAAUUAGAGUGUUCAAAGCAGGCUUAUGCCGUUGAAUACAUUAGCAUGGAAUAAUAAGAUAGGACUUUGGCACUAUUUUGUUGGUUUGCGCACCAAAGUAAUGAUUAAUAGGGACAGUUGGGGGUAUUCGUAUUCCGUUGUCAGAGGUGAAAUUCUUGGAUUUACGGAAGACGAACUACUGCGAAAGCAUUUACCAAGGAUGUUUUCAUUAA